rnacentral:rRNA from 1 species
GACGAACGCUGGCGGCGUGCCUAAUACAUGCAAGUAGAACGCUGAAGGAGGAGCUUGCUUCUCUGGAUGAGUUGCGAACGGGUGAGUAACGCGUAGGUAACCUGCCUGGUAGCGGGGGAUAACUAUUGGAAACGAUAGCUAAUACCGCAUAAGAGUGGAUGUUGCAUGACAUUUGCUUAAAAGGUGCACUUGCAUCACUACCAGAUGGACCUGCGUUGUAUUAGCUAGUUGGUGGGGUAAGGGCUCACCAAGGCGACGAUACAUAGCCGACCUGAGAGGGUGAUCGGCCACACUGGGACUGAGACACGGCCCAGACUCCUACGGGAGGCAGCAGUAGGGAAUCUUCGGCAAUGGACGGAAGUCUGACCGAGCAACGCCGCGUGAGUGAAGAAGGUUUUCGGAUCGUAAAGCUCUGUUGUAAGAGAAGAACGAGUGUGAGAGUGGAAAGUUCACACUGUGACGGUAUCUUACCAGAAAGGGACAGCUAACUACGUGCCAGCAGCCGCGGUAAUACGUAGGUCCCGAGCGUUGCCCGGAUUUAUUGGGCGUAAAGCGAGCGCAGGCGGUUAGAUAAGUCUGAAGCUAAAGGCUGUGGCUUAACCAUAGUAGGCUUUGUAAACUGUUUAACUUGAGUGCUCGAGGAGUGAUUGCACUUCCAUGUGUGCGGUGAAU